rnacentral:rRNA from 1 species
UACGGAGGGUGCGAGCGUUAAUCGGAAUUACUGGGCGUAAAGCGUGCGUAGGCGGUUUGAUAAGUCGGGUGUGAAAGCCCCGGGCUUAACCUGGGAAUUGCAUUCGAUACUGUCUGACUCGAGUCUGGGAGAGGGAAGCGGAAUUCCGGGUGUAGCGGUGAAAUGCGUAGAGAUCCGGAAGAACACCAGUGGCGAAGGCGGCCCGCUGGGCAGUGGCUGACGCUGAGGCGCGACAGCGUGGGGAGCAAACAGG